CAGAGGGUGCGAGCGUUGUCCGGAAGUCACUGGGCGUAAAGGGCGCGUAGGUGGCGGCCCAAGUCUGUGGUGAAAGCUCGAUGCUCAACAUCGAGUCGGCCACGGAUACUGGCGGCUGGAGCACUGUAGAGGCAGAUGGAAUUCCGGGUGUAGCGGUGGAAUGCGUAGAGAUCCGGAAGAACACCGGUGGCGAAGGCGGUCUGCUGGGCAGUAGCUGACACUGAGGCGCGACAGCGUGGGAGCAAACAGGAUUAGAUACCCUGGUAGUCCACGCCGUAAACGAUGGGCACUAGAUGCUUGGGGGAGCGACCCCCUGAGUGUCGCCGCUAACGCAGUAAGUGCCCCGCCUGGGGAGUACGGCCGCAAGGCUG
rnacentral:rRNA from 1 species